GCGACGCGCCCGCCUCCUCCUCCUGCCCUGCGCGCCCGCUCCGCGCUCGGCUCACGGCACGGAGCGCCGGCCCCGCCGCGAGCAGCUGGAGCAGAGGCUGAUCCGAACCGUGCUCGGCGCGAGGGGCGCAGGAACCGCCGUGUGAGGCGGCGGCGGCGGCUCGUGCGCGGUCACCGCGGGGUCGGUGCGAGCAGCGGUUGUCGGGAGCGGCCGUGGGAGCUGCGGCCCCGCCAUCCGCCAGGGAAGCGGGCUGGGCACAGCCUGCGGUGCCCCUGUGCAGCCCCCGCAGCUUCCUCGAGUGCUGAUCGGCUGGGCUGGGAGCUGUCCUGGCUGAGCAUCGAUGGUCUCUGCCGAAACGCGCAGUGGCUGCUGAGGCGUUGAUGAGCCCACGCCGGGGCUUGUGGGUCGCUGCAGAAAAAAGCAGGAAAACAAUGUUGCCAAAAUAGGUUCUUGCACAGGUGAACAAGAAGCCAAUCCACACACAGAGUCGAGGAGCCUUGGAGAAUCAAGAAUCCUGAAGAAGCCUUACCUUGACACCUGAUGUGUCUAUUUUGUGAUGUGCAGAGCUCUGAGGACAGAGGCCUUUUUCCACUAAAAGAAAAAAGGUAAAUUUGGAGCACAGCCAACAGAAAUUAGUCUCUUCUGACUUAAAUGUAUUAAUUAUCUGUUAAAUACAACAAAAUCACCAGAGACUGAG